UGGAUCCGGCUGGCACGCGAGGGACCACGAUAAAACGCGUGAUUUCUCUUCCAUGAAGCAAGAGUCGAUCCCUUCUCACCAUUCGUUCCCUCCCUCUGCUUGAGAUCCUCAAGGAGUUAAGGCCAAGGACGCUCGAGUAGGCAUUAUGCAACUCUUUUAAGUUUGGCUCAAUGUAGUACUUGGUGUCAUGGCUGCUUAAUACUGAUGCAGGAUUUUUUCCCCCCCCUGGUUAAAAGAGCAGACUAGGAACAUAAUGGUUCUUGAUUCUUCGUUAUCUCCACAUAGGAGAUCCCAAAAUAUAUCAUCUCCUUCAUUCUCUGUCAAGAAACAGCUAAAGGGCCAUGAUGACUUGGCAUGGUCUAUUCUCCUCGAGCGCCACCGAUUUCUCCUGACAAUGCUGGUCCUGCUGGUUUUACUGUGUACGGUCUAUCUCUACUUUGCUGUUACCUUGGGGGCUACAGGAUCAUGUUCUACAUUGUCGGGAGCUGAUAAGGUAUUGUGUCAGGCAAAAUCUUCUGCAAUACACAAUGGAAAAUUAAAAUUUUUCUAGCUUGUAGCUUUCUGCUAUCCAAACAUUAUGUGUGCCUCGUUUUUGCCUGUUGAAUGUAGAUCUAUGUGGAACUUUUCUGCAAUUGUUGUGAAAAAAGUAUAAUUGAAUGCCGGUCUUCUUAGCCAUCAUUUUGACUUCAAGUAGAAAGCAUGAAAGUUCUUUUACUCUGGACUGGAAGUCCAUUAAAGACGAUCAUGACCGUUUGGCAUGUGGCAAGCAUAUUGCCACAAGAGGUGUUUGAAAGAAAACCUAUAUUUCAACCAAAGAAUUGGUUAAUGAUGGCCUUAAACCAUAUGCUUCUUUCCAGAAAAGUCUGAAAACACAAGAACUAUUGGAUAGAAACUACCUUCCAUUAUAAUAAAUAUUUUGGUAAUGGUUGUUUGGCAAGGAAUGCUAUUUAUACAAGAAAUGUGAUGUAUAAAGAUAUAUCCAGGUUUGAUUC